rnacentral:rRNA from 1 species
AUUGAACGCUAGCGGGAUGCCUUACACAUGCAAGUCGAACGGAGUGGCGAACGGGUGAGUAAUGUAUCGGAACGUGCCCAGUAGCGGGGGAUCACUACGCGAAAGCGUAGCUAAUACCGCAUACUAGUGGAGCGGCCGAUAUCGGAUUGGCUAGUUGGUGGGGUAACGGCUUCCCAAGGCGACGAUCCGUAGCUGGUUUGAGAGGAAGACCAGCCACACGGGGACUGAGAGACGGCCCAGACUCCUACGGGAGGCAGCAGUGGGGAAUGUUGGACAAUGGUGGAAACCCUGAUCCAGCCAUCCCGCGUGUGUGAUGAAGGCCUUCGGGUCGUAAAGCACUUUUGGCAGGAAAGCGGUACCUGCAGAGUAAGCACCGGCUAACUACGUGCCAGCAGCCGCGGUAAUUC